rnacentral:rRNA from 1 species
UACGUAGGGAGCAAGCGUUGUUCGGAUUUACUGGGCGUAAAGGGCGCGUAGGCGGCGCGGUAAGUCACUUGUGAAAGUCUCUGAGCUUAACUCAGAACGGCCAAGUGAUACUGCAGUGCUAGAGUGCAGAAGGGGCAAUCGGAAUUCUUGGUGUAGCGGUGAAAUGCGUAGAUAUCAAGAGGAACACCUGAGGUGAAGACGGGUUGCUAGGCUGACACUGACGCUGAGGCGCGAAAGCCAGGGGAGCAAACGGG